rnacentral:rRNA from 1 species
GAUGAACGCUGGCGGCGUGCCUAAUACAUGCAAGUCGAACGCAUUGAGAGAAGUGCUUGCACUUUUCAAUUUGAGUGGCGAACGGGUGAGUAACACGUGGGCAACCUACCUGAUAGCGGGGGAUAACGAGUGGAAACAUUCGCUAAUACCGCAUAACAAUAGAGAAGGCAUCUUCUUUAUUUAAAAGGCGCUUUCAAGCGUCACUAUCAGAUGGGCCCGCGGUGCAUUAGUUAGUUGGUGGGGUGAAGGCCUACCAAGACGAUGAUGCAUAGGCGAGUUGGGAGACUGGUCGGCCACAUUGGGACUGAGACACGGCCCAAACUCCUACGGGAGGCUGCAGUAGGGAAUCUUCCACAAUGGACGAAAGUCUGAUGGAGCAACGCCGCGUGUGUGAUGAAGGCUUUCGGGUCGUAAAGCACUGUUGUAUGGGAAGAAAUGCUAGGCUAGGAAAUGAGCUUAGUUUGACGGUACCAUACCAGAAAGGGACGGCUAAAUACGUGCCAGCCGCCGCCGUAA